UACGUAGGGGGCAAGCGUUGUCCGGAUUUACUGGGCGUAAAGAGCGUGUAGGCGGCCAAGCAGGUCCGUUGUGAAAACUGGAGGCUUAACCUCCAGACGUCGACGGAAACCGCGUGGCUAGAGUCCGGAAGAGGAGAGUGGAAUUCCCGGUGUGGCGGUGAAAUGCGCAGAUAUCAGGAAGAACACCAAUGGCGAAGGCAGCUCUCUGGGACGGUACUGACGCUGAGACGCGAAAGCGUGGGGAGCGAACAGG
rnacentral:rRNA from 1 species